AGAAGAAGAGUAUUAUAUAUCUAUGGUUAUGUUUAUGUGGAAGUAGGCAUAGAUUUAUAAUACUCUAGAUUGCGCCUUACGAUCUUAAAAUGGGUGACGGUUGCGACAGAGAUAAAUGAGCUUAUUUGGUCGGUAGUCUCUUUCUAAUUCAAGGGGAGUAUCGACGACGUCACUAUCCUACUCUGUCGUCGAGUAUUUUAGAUGGUUUGACAGUUCGAGCGGAUGGCGACGAGAACUGGUCGUUUGUCUUCGGACGUGGAUAAUCCUGGUUCGAAUCCCAUACCAAUCUUUACUUUUUUAUUUUUAGUUUAAUCAAUAUUGCGUUUAUUAGAUAUUAUUACAUCUCUAAAAUAAAUCUAUGCAAAGAAAUAUAUAACAAAUAAGAAAAACUGUGUAGGUACCUAUAGAUUUUUAAAAAUAUAAAAGCCAAUGUUAUUUUUUUUAAUAAGUUAAUGGUAGAAUACUAUAAAGUAAUUAAAAAUAUUCGUAAAAAAAUACCAAUAAUUAAUAUCAACAUAAUGUACCAUCGAUUUAUUAAUUGAAUCGGUCAUUUAAAAAAUAACACGAGUCACAUAUUCCUAAUUUUACAGAAGAGCAAAGAAAACUUAACUAUAUAGUCGAAAGAUGGAUGAAAUGGAUGACAUCAAAAUUCAAAGUUAUAUUGUAGUUUUGUUCCUAAUGUUUUUACUGGACUGGUGUCGUUUUUGCACACAACGUUUAUCUUAAAGGAGUCUAUUCCUCUCAAAAAGUUAGUUUCUCAAAAUUGUGGACUUUGCUGUUUUUGAAAUGACCGAUUCAAUUAUAAGUAAUUAGACAUUAUUUUUAUUUAUGAAACUAUUGUUACAAUUUUUUUAAAAAAGUAGAAGCAAAACAAAUAUUAUUCACAUCAUUCGAAUAAGGACGAAUUUAUAUUAAUAACGAAUGACUUUUAUUUUACUAUGCAGUUCACAAAAUGUAUUCCAAUAUUAACUUACUAUACAUAGGUACUACAUUUAUUAUCUGCUAGAUUUACUUAGGUCCAUUUUUCAGAAGUAAAAAUAUCUAAUAAACGCAAUAUUGAUUAAAUAAAAAUAAAAAAGGUAAAGUUGGUAUGGGAUUCGAACCACGAUUAUCCACGUCCGAAGACCAAAGACCAUUUCUCGUCACCACCCGCUCCAACUGUCAACACAUAUUACUCGAUAAAGUGGGAUAGUCACGUCGUCGAUAUUCCCCUAAAAUUAAAAAGAGACUACCGACCAAAUAGGCUCAUUUAUCUCUGUCGCAACCGUCACCCAUUUUAAGAUCGCAGGGCGCAAUCUAGAGUAUUAUAUAUCUAUGGAAGUAGGCAAUCCAAACCACGUGACCUCUGGUUGGCACACAAACUAACAAAGAGGUUAUGUUUGCAUCUAUUUUUCAAUGAUUUUUCAUUGUUUAUCGUCCUAUUUUGGAUUCAUUUGGAUUUUGUUUCCUGUUUUUGUGAACUUUAUAAACUUUACCACAAUGCAAACUGAUUAUUUAAGGAAAUUAUUAUUGGAAACUCCAGAUGUUGCGAGAAAGGUAGGCGAAACAAUUUUUUUUACUGUUCAUUUUGCCCCGAUAUUUAUCAAUAAUGAUGAAUUUUGCAAGCAAUAACAUUAUUUCUUUUAUUGUUCUAGAUAUUUAUUGAAGCUGAAAAUAAUUGGGGAUUUAGAUCCAUACGCAAUUCAGUCAGAAUUAGAUUUUACAGUAAAGUGCAGUCCAUCAAGUUACUAUUAUAGAUAUUUAUACAUAUCUGGUGGAGUCUGAUAUGUCACAGUUGCUACUCUAAGCAGCAGAUGAAAGCAUACAAAAGCCUUCAGGCACAUAAAUAUUUUACAGCUGGAUUUGUUUUGAAUGGAGUAAAAAUUGUUAAUGAUUUCCUGAUUUCCAUAUUAUUGUGGGAAAGGUGAAGCAUUUCCAAAAAUCCAAUGCUAAACGACUAAAUGCUUGGGUGGGGUGAUAGCCAGUUCUGAUGACAUAGCAAAUUCACAUUGUAUGCGUAUGGCCGGUAAUAGUGAAGUCUGCAGCCAUAUUGCAGCAAUCCUAUUUUUAGCUUAGUAUGCUCAGGGCAAGACAGACGAAGAACCCAAUGUAUGUACAUAUGUUACAGCUACAUGGUUUGGAGAUAGCAACAUAUGCAUUCUCUGAUGAAAAACUAAUGAGUUUUGAAACUGUUCGGUCAGAGUGCUUGUUGCGCUCACUAAACGAAUUGAAAUAUAAGAUGGCUUUGGCAUUGUGUUGCAGCGAUAUGAAAAUGGUUAUUCAUUUUUAAUUAUAAUGUACUUCUUCAUCAUGAGUAAUUAUGUAUUGGUCUUUUAAAUGUGUAUUUAUUUUUGUAAUUAGUAUCAACUUGUAAUAAUAAUAUUCAUUUAUCGUUUAAGGUAUGACUAUGUUUUGACUCUAAAAUAAAUGUUUUAAAAAUCGAA